GAGUCUGAGAAAUUGCAGCCUGCAAGGAGCUAUUCCCGAUUUAAAUUCAAUACCAAGUCUUAAAUAUUUGGAUCUUAGCUGGAAUCAGUUCACUGGGUCUAUACCGUCAAAUAAUCUUUCAACCAAUAUGACAACUGUUGAUUUGUCCCAUAACAAACUCAACGGAUCAAUUCCCCGAGGCGGAAUAUAUCCUUAUCUUCAAAGAUUGUGAGAAUAUACUCGUCAACUUGUAUUUAAAAUUUCUAAAAUAAAACUCUAUUCAACUUAUGCAAAUAGUAAGUUUCUCAAUCUCAGCAUUUUAUUAUUCUUUAUUAUAUUUGAGUUUCUCUAAUAGUACUUUCAUUUUAUUGUUAUAGUAAUUAUUAAUACAGAGAG